rnacentral:rRNA from 1 species
CCUACGGGGCGCUGCAGUGAGGAAUAUUGGUCAAUGGGCGGGAGCCUGAACCAGCCAAGCCGCGUGAGGGAAGAAGGUACAGCGUAUCGUAAACCUCUUUUGUCAGGGAACAAAGGCGGGGACUAGUCCCCGGCUGAGGGUACCUGAAGAAAAAGCAUCGGCUAACUCCGUGCCAGCAGCCGCGGUAAUACGGAGGAUGCGAGCGUUAUCCGGAUUUAUUGGGGUUAAAGGGUGCGCAGGCGGCCUGUUAAGUCAGCGGUAAAAGCCCGGGGCUCAACCCCGGCGAGCCGUUGAAACUGGCGGGCUGGAGUUGGAGAGAAGUAAGCGGAAUGCGUGGUGUAGCGGUGAAAGGCGUAGAGAUCGCGCAGAACCCCGAUUGCGAAGGCAGCGUACCGGAUCCAAACUGACGCUGAGGCACGAAAGCGUGGGUAUCGAACAGGAUUAGAUACCCGGGUAGUC